rnacentral:rRNA from 1 species
UGGGGAAUAUUGCACAAUGGGCGAAAGCCUGAUGCAGCAACGCCGCGUGAGGGACGACGGCCUUCGGGUUGUAAACCUCUUUUAGCAAGGAAGAAGCGAAAGUGACGGUACUUGCAGAAAAAGCGCCGGCUAACUACGUGCCAGCAGCCGCGGUAAUACGUAGGGCGCAAGCGUUAUCCGGAAUUAUUGGGCGUAAAGAGCUCGUAGGCGGUUUGUCGCGUCUGCUGUGAAAACCCGAGGCUCAACCUCGGGCCUGCAGUGGGUACGGGCAGACUAGAGUGCGGUAGGGGAGAUUGGAACUCCUGGUGUAGCGGUGGAAUGCGCAGAUAUCAGGAAGAACACCGAUGGCGAAGGCAGAUCUCUGGGCCGUAACUGACGCUGAGGAGCGAAAGGGUGGAGAGCAAACAGGCUUAGAUACCCUGGUAGUCCACCCCGUAAACGUUGGGAACUAAGUUGUGGGGUCCAUUCCACGGAUUCCGUGACGCAGCUAACGCAUUAAGUUCCCCGCCUGGGGAGUACGGCCGCAAGGCUAAAACUUGAAAGGAAUUGAC